rnacentral:rRNA from 1 species
GUAUUGGCGGCACUGCCUGCCCAGUGACGACCGUUAAACGGCCGCGGUAUCCUGACCGUGCAAAGGUAGCAUAAUCACUUGUUCUCUAAAUAGGGACUUGUAUGAAUGGCCACACGAGGGUUUUACUGUCUCUUACUUCCAAUCAGUGAAAUUGACCUUCCCGUGAAGAGGCGGGAAUAUAUUAAUAAGACGAGAAGACCCUAUGGAGCUUUAACUACUUAGCCCAAAGAGACAAAUUUCAUUACCAAGGAAACAACAACACUCUUUAUGGGCUAACAGCUUUGGUUGGGGUGACCUCGGAGAACAAGAAAACCUCCGAGCGAUUUUAAAGACUAGACCUACAAGUCGAAUCACGCAAUCGUUUAUUGAUCCAAAAAAUUGAUCAACGGAACAAGUUACCCUAGGGAUAACAGCGCAAUCCUAUUCAAGAGUCCAUAUCGACAAUAGGGUUUACGACCUCGAUGUUGGAUCAGGACAUCCCGAUGGUGCAACCGCUAUCAAAGGUUCGUUUGUUCAACGAUUAAAGUCCUACGUGAUCUGAGUUCAAACCCGGAG